rnacentral:rRNA from 1 species
GACGAGCGCUGGCGGCGUGCCUAAUACAUGCAAGUCGAACGAGAGCGACCGGUGCUUGCCCUGGUCAAUCUAGUGGCGAACGGGUGAGUAACACGUGGGUAACCUGCCCAUCAGAGGGGGAUAACAUCCGGAAACGGAUGCUAAAACCGCAUAGGUCUUCGAGCCGCAUGGCUUGAAGAGGAAAAGAGGCGCAAGCUUCUGCUGAUGGAUGGACCCGCGGUGCAUUAGCUAGUUGGUGAGGUAACGGCUCACCAAGGCCGUGAUGCAUAGCCGACCUGAGAGGGUGAUCGGCCACAUUGGGACUGAGACACGGCCCAAACUCCUACGGGAGGCAGCAGUAGGGAAUCUUCCGCAAUGGACGCAAGUCUGACGGAGCAACGCCGCGUGAGUGAAGAAGGUUUUCGGAUCGUAAAACUCUGUUGUUAGAGAAGAACAAGUGCUAGAGUAACUGUUAGCGCCUUGACGGUAUCUAACCAGAAAGCCACGGCUAACUACGUG